GACAUACUUCCUCCGUCCCAAAAUUCUUGUCUUAAAUUUGUCUAUAAAUGAAUGUAUCUAAAUACUAAAACGUGACUAGAUGCAUUCAUAUCUAAACAAAUACGUAUAAGACAAGAAUUUUGGGACGGAGGGAGUAUAUU
rfam:Hordeum vulgare subsp. vulgare, WGS project CAJW01000000 data, contig: morex_contig_55644